UGGGGAAUUUUGGACAAUGGGCGAAAGCCUGAUCCAGCAAUGCCGCGUGUGUGAAGAAGGCCUUCGGGUUGUAAAGCACUUUUGUCCGGAAAGAAAUCCUCUGGGUUAAUACCUCGGGGGGAUGACGGUACCGGAAGAAUAAGCACCGGCUAACUACGUGCCAGCAGCCGCGGUAAUACGUAGGGUGCAAGCGUUAAUCGGAAUUACUGGGCGUAAAGCGUGCGCAGGCGGUUUUGUAAGACGGAUGUGAAAUCCCCGGGCUUAACCUGGGAACUGCAUUCGUGACUGCAAGGCUAGAGUAUGGCAGAGGGGGGUAGAAUUCCACGUGUAGCAGUGAAAUGCGUAGAGAUGUGGAGGAAUACCGAUGGCGAAGGCAGCCCCCUGGGCCAAUACUGACGCUCAUGCACGAAAGCGUGGGGAGCAAAACAGGAUUAGAUACCCUGGUAGUCCACGCCCUAAAACGAUGUCAACUAGUUGUUGGGGAUUCAUUUCCUUAGUAACGUAGCUAACGCGUGAAGUUGACCGCCUGGGGAGUACGGUCGCAAGAUUAAAACUUAAAGGAAUUGACGGGGUCAUAGCUGUUUCCU
rnacentral:rRNA from 1 species